rnacentral:rRNA from 1 species
UACGAAGGGGGCUAGCGUUGCUCGGAAUCACUGGGCGUAAAGCGCACGUAGGCGGCUUUUUAAGUCAGGGGUGAAAUCCUGGAGCUCAACUCCAGAACUGCCUUUGAUACUGAGAAGCUUGAGUCCGGGAGAGGUGAGUGGAACUGCGAGUGUAGAGGUGAAAUUCGUAGAUAUUCGCAAGAACACCAGUGGCGAAGGCGGCUCACUGGCCCGGUACUGACGCUGAGGCGCGAAAGCGUGGGGAGCAAACGGG